rnacentral:rRNA from 2 species
CGCUGGCGGCGUGCCUAAUACAUGCAAGUCGAGCGAAUCGAUGGGAGCUUGCUCCCUGAGAUUAGCGGCGGACGGGUGAGUAACACGUGGGCAACCUGCCUAUAAGACUGGGAUAACUUCGGGAAACCGGAGCUAAUACCGGAUACGUUCUUUUCUCGCAUGAGAGAAGAUGGAAAGACGGUUUACGCUGUCACUUAUAGAUGGGCCCGCGGCGCAUUAGCUAGUUGGUGAGGUAAUGGCUCACCAAGGCGACGAUGCGUAGCCGACCUGAGAGGGUGAUCGGCCACACUGGGACUGAGACACGGCCCAGACUCCUACGGGAGGCAGCAGUAGGGAAUCUUCCGCAAUGGACGAAAGUCUGACGGAGCAACGCCGCGUGAACGAAGAAGGCCUUCGGGUCGUAAAGUUCUGUUGUUAGGGAAGAACAAGUACCAGAGUAACUGCUGGUACCUUGACGGUACCUAACCAGAAAGCCACGGCUAACUACGUGCCAGCAGCCGCGGUAAUACGUAGGUGGCAAGCGUUGUCCGGAAUUAUUGGGCGUAAAGCGCGCGCAGGUGGUUCCUUAAGUCUGAUGUGAAAGCCCACGGCUCAACCGUGGAGGGUCAUUGGAAACUGGGGAACUUGAGUGCAGAAGAGGAAAGUGGAAUUCCAAGUGUAGCGGUGAAAUGCGUAGAGAUUUGGAGGAACACCAGUGGCGAAGGCGACUUUCUGGUCUGUAACUGACACUGAGGCG